rnacentral:lncRNA from 1 species
GUCCUCCAGACCGGAAGCGCCCUGCGGAUCCCGAGUCCCGCCCUCUGGAGCAGGACGGGAAUUACUGUUCCGGCUUCCAGCCCGAACGGCUACUGUUGAGUUAGGGUGUCUCUGUGCGUGCAAGGGUGGUCUGACUGCAGAGAUGCCUAGCUCUCCGAUCCUGUAGCUUCACCACAACUGGAUGCAUGGUACGAUGAGAAGGUCAUCCUGAAGACAGGACGUCCAUACAUGUUCAUGCUUGCUUUAGUCCUCUGUAGGAGAUUUCUAUGAGCUCAAAACUCUUCAAGUCUUGACCGAGUCUGUGUGACUUCGGUGUAAUUAUGCCACUACUACUGUGGAAUAGUAACCGCAAACCAUUUCCCCCAAAGUGAAGAUGAAAUUUACUUAUUUAUUAUCCCAGGUUAGCCUCGAACUUACUUUCUAGCAGAGAAUAACUUCAUUACAGACAUGAGCUGCUGAUGCGUGUAGAUCUUGGAUUCUAGGCAUAACCAUCCAUUUCCACUGCCAAUGACUUCUUCAGCCUUUGGAGAGAGAUUGAACAGCCCAUUGCUGCUCUGCCUGUUCUAUAGCCGUAUAGUCCUCUGUAGGAAAUGUCUACCGGUUUCUGUUUCUAUGACUUCUAUCACAGAUAAGAAUACAUACAUACGUACAUACAUGCAUACAUAUAUCAGGCACAUACCAUAUGUAUGGUAUAUAAAUAUUUAGUAUGUAUAUUUCAUGUAUACAUAUGUGUGUAUAUGUAUAUAUGUGUGUAUAUGUAUAUAUAUAUAUAUAUAUAAUCAACAGUCACAUACCAAUUAGUAUGUUGGAGAUGAAUUGGAAAUUGUGCCCUAAAAGGUUUAUCAAGAAGCUGAUGAGUCCAGAUGAAGAGGAUAUGAAAAGCUGUUGGGAUAUAUUUCAAGUUAUUUUGUAGGAAUACAUUGUUUUGAAAUAAAAACUUGGAAAAAUG